AGUUUUCAAUUAUGAGAAGUUAAUUACUAAAUGUUAUAUAAAAUAGAGAUUGAGAGAGUUGAUUGCAAUAUGGAUCAAAUAGAGCACUAAGUAGCAUUAUAUAGAACCUAUUUUCAUUUUAUACAAACAAAACCCUAAACCACCGAUACAGAGAGGGAAAGAAGGAAAAAAAGAAGAAAAGAAAAGGGAAAGAAAAAAUAAAGAAGAAGAAGGGAAAAUCUAGCACUGUCGCUUUUCUCCCUCUUCUCGAAGGUGGCGCUAGGUUUAUAGAGGGUAGAAACGGAAAUAAAAGGGGAAAAAAAAAAGAAGAGAGAGAAAGAAGAAGCAAAAAAUGACGAAAUGUCCAGUUGAAAUUUGGAGGAUCCGACCUAUAUCCAUACCCAUACCCAUACCCAUGUCUUGUCGUAUCCGACACGGGUACUCUAACCAUUUUGAAGAGUCCGAGCAUUAGAGUGGGCAGCUGACACGUGAGUUACUUUUCUUUAAUGAACUGGCUGGAUUUCGUUUCUAGCAUAGGUUUUUUACUUACAAUAAACACGUGCCUUCUCUUCCCGCUAGAAUGAUGAAGUGAUGACUCACAUAUAUAGUUGAGUGUAUAUUGGGGGUGAUAAUCUGACCAACUUGAGCAUUGAAGGCCAACUUUCUCAAAUAUCAUUGAAGGGAAAGAUCAAUAACUCUAUGAAUAAAUCUAACUUGCAACCAAUUGGAUUAAUUUCUAAAAUAAGCAUUGGAGGCCUGUUGUCCGAAGCAUCUUUGUAGGGCAAGAUUGGCAAUCCUGACCUGAAAUAUCCAGCAUGCAUCAAAAAGCAGUUGGAUCUGCACCUGGUGUUAAAUUUUGCUCUUCACAUUGCUCAAGCCAUGGACUGUUUACACACAAAAGGGAUUAUACAUGGAGAAUUAAAACUUGGUAUUUGAUGGGCCAAUGAGCUAUAUAAGAUUUUAUGCAUCUAUAAUAUUGUUAUAUUGUGUAGUUUUGAACAAUUUUAUUGUUUUAGUGGAGAUUUUAAUAUUUUGUUCACCAGGAUUUCAUAUUGUAUCGGUUAGUCUGAAGUGAUAUUUUAAUAAGAAGUAGGUGAACACAUAUCAUAGUAUGCUGUCAUUUUUCCUUUUAGUUCUAUUAUCUGGGUUGUUAUGUUAUUCAUCACCAAAUGAAUAAAAAGAGAGAGAGAGAGAAGGGAAACAAAGAUGAGUUUGAAUCAAUUUUGAAACUUAUUUAUGCUGUGCUCAAUGACAUAUAUCUAUUUCUUACUUUAGGCAAUUGAUGUAUAUAUUGAUGUUUACAUUACCAAGCAGAGCAGAAAAAGAAUGCUAUGAAAAGUGAAGCAUUUCUACUCUAUAUGAUACCUGAGAACUUCACUGCCUAUGAGUACUUGUAGACAUGCUUCUUUAGUGAAGGUUUUCCUUUUGAGCCUUUGUCUUUACAUAUGCAGAAGGAAGAUCUAUUUGUGUUUGAGUACUAAAACAAGUUGGAUAAAACUUGUAUUAUUUGUCUUUUUUCAGUAAUUUGAUUGUUUUUAUUCCACAUGUAAAAUGAUUUCUUGUGUUUUGAAACGAUAUGAUUUAAUCUCUCUGCAUACUCAAUAAAG
rnacentral:lncRNA from 1 species